rnacentral:rRNA from 1 species
AGUGAACGCUGGCGGUAGGCCUAACACAUGCAAGUCGAACGGCAGCACAGUAAGAGCUUGCUCUUACGGGUGGCGAGUGGCGGACGGGUGAGGAAUACAUCGGAAUCUACUUUUUCGUGGGGGAUAACGUAGGGAAACUUACGCUAAUACCGCAUACGACCUACGGGUGAAAGCAGGGGAUCAUCGGACCUUGCGCGAUUGAAUGAGCCGAUGUCGGAUUAGCUAGUUGGCGGGGUAAAGGCCCACCAAGGCGACGAUCCGUAGCUGGUCUGAGAGGAUGAUCCGCCACACUGGAACUGAGACACGGUCCAGACUCCUACGGGAGGCAGCAGUGGGGAAUAUUGGACAAUGGGCGCAAGCCUGAUCCAGCCAUACCGCGUGGGUGAAGAAGGCCUUCGGGUUGUAAAGCCCUUUUGUUGGGAAAGAAAAGCAGCAGGUUAAUACCCCGCUGUUCUGACGGUACCCAAAGAAUAGGCACCGGCUAACUUCGUG